GAACGCACAUUGCGCCCCUUGGUAUUCCAUGGGGCAUGCCUGUUCGAGCGUCAUUUGUACCCUCAAGCUUUGCUUGGUGAUGGGUGUUUGUUCCGCUGCAACGCGUGAACUCGCCUCAAAUCAAUUGGCAGCCGGCAAUCUGGUGUUUGAGCGCAGCACAUUUUGCGCUCUUCGCUGUGUAUUGCGGGCGUCCAUGAAGCCUAUAUUUUCGCGCUUGACCUCGGAUCAGGUAGGGAUACCCGCUGAACUUA
rnacentral:misc_RNA from 1 species